rnacentral:rRNA from 1 species
UACCGAGUUUACAACUCCCAAACCCAAUGUGAACGUUACCAAACUGUUGCCUCGGCGGGAUCUCUGCCCCGGGUGCGUCGCAGCCCCGGACCAAGGCGCCCGCCGGAGGACCAACCUAAAACUCUUUUGUAUACCCCCUCGCGGGUUUUUUAUAUCUGAGCCAUCUCGGCGCCUCUCGUAGGCGUUUCGAAAAUGAAUCAAAACUUUCAACAACGGAUCUCUUGGUUCUGGCAUCGAUGAAGAACGCAGCGAAAUGCGAUAAGUAAUGUGAAUUGCAGAAUUCAGUGAAUCAUCGAAUCUUUGAACGCACAUUGCGCCCGCCAGUAUUCUGGCGGGCAUGCCUGUCCGAGCGUCAUUUCAACCCUCGAACCCCUCCGGGGGGUCGGCGUUGGGGAUCGGCCCUUUACGGGGCCGGCCCCGAAAUACAGUGGCGGUCUCGCCGCAGCCUCUCCUGCGCAGUAGUUUGCACACUCGCAUCGGGAGCGCGGCGCGUCCAUUGCCGUAAAACACCCAACUUUCUGAAAUGUUGACCUCGGAUCAGGUAGGAAUACCCGCUGAACUUAAGCAUA